UGCGGGUUCUAGAUAGUAAACAAGUGAACCGGACCCAGAGGGGAAAAAAGAAAAAGAGCGGAGUUGGAGCCAGACUCAAAGAGGAGAGAGGACUGCUGCAUUUUUGGCAUUCACCGAAACCAACUAACUGACCUUUGAAAUGACAGACUGACCCGUGCGUUAAGUUUAAAGUAAUUUCAAUUUGAAGUGAUCACAAACAUGCUUUAAUGUACAUGUUCAUUUGGUCCAGAUGUGCGGAUAAAACCUACAGGCUGGUUAAACCCAGAGGCGGAGCGGACGGUGCCGCCUCAAAGUUCGCUAGUUUCACUUUCGAUUUCUCUCUGUGGCGCAGUUCGUCCUCUUCGUGUCAAAACUCCGUCUGAAGCAGCAUGGAUCAGCGAGAGGACAGAGUGCCUCCUGUUGUCCCUCCAUGUGGGGAAGAAGAGAGCCAGAGCGGGGUUCAGAGUUCUGAACCUGAACCCAGCUGUGUGUCC